AUGUUCAUGAUCUUCAUGAAGUACCUGCAGCCCUCGGAACGCCUGGGCCAGAGCAUGAGAGCCGUCCAGAGCAUGAGAGCCCCAAGUCCCCACAGCACCGAGCUGGCUGCCCACAUGGUGGACGUGCUGGCGGCAGAGACCGACUUCCAUUCGGGACAGGUGCUCCACAUCGUGUGGGCCAUCUACAGAAGCCUGCCGUCCGUCAGAGCCGCGCUGGCCCUUCAGAGCCUGGACAGGGCCCUGCUGCUGCUGGCCAGCAAGCGCCCCAGGGAGACGGUUGCCAGCCUGCUGCAGUGCUCGCUGACCUGCACCAGGUACGGGGCCCAGCAGGGCUCCUCUCGCACACCCCCAAAGCCGUNNNNNNNNNNGAGCUCGGCUGUCCUUGCGGCUCUCCGAAGACAGCAACAGCAACAGGAUGUUCAUGGUGAGAAGCGCCAGCCCCGAGCCCUGAGCCCUGAGCCCCGGAGGAGAGCCCGGCCCUGCGACGGCAGCAAGAGGACCGGCGCUGUCCUCUUGCAAGGACCACCCGCGCAUCCUGGCCCUGGCCGCAGCAAGGCCCCUCCACGAGAUCCUCCUGCUGCCUACCAGCCGGGGGGAGGCGAAGGCCAUUUUCCCCCAGCUCUUCCUGGCCCUCCUCUUCCAAGUGUCCUUCACCACGGAGCUGAAGCUGCAGGAGGUGCAGGUCUUCUGGGAGAAGCACCGGCAGGACCUGCUCACUCCCGUCAGGUCCACGGUGCAGGCCCUGAAAGCACUGCUCCGCAGCGUGGGCCUGGGGAGCCAGGUGCUGGCCAUCGAGGCGCAGGGCGUCUGGGCCGCGCUUCUCAGCGCCGAGAGCCACCUCUGGGGCGUGCAGGUGGUGGCCAGGUGAGAGCCCCUCGUCGGCACCAUCCCAGCCCUGGAGGUGACNNNNNNNNNNGUGUGAAAGGGUUAGCCAUGUAUGCCAUGUGGAAUAUUACAGCAGCAACACUUUGUUAA
rnacentral:lncRNA from 1 species